rnacentral:rRNA from 1 species
ACGAACGCUGGCGGCGUGCUUAACCCAUGCAAGUCGAACGGUAAGGCCCCUUCGGGGGUACACGAGUGGCGAACGGGUGAGUAACACGUGAGCAACCUGCCCUUGACUCUGGAAUAACAGUUGGAAACAGCUGCUAAUACUGGAUAUUCAUCGUCUCCUUCCUGGGGGGUGGUGGAAAGCUCCGGCGGUCAGGGAUGGGCUCGCGGCCUAUCAGCUUGUUGGUGAGGUAAUGGCUCACCAAGGCUUCGACGGGUAGCCGGCCUGAGAGGGCGACCGGCCACACUGGGACUGAGAUACGGCCCAGACUCCUACGGGAGGCAGCAGUGGGGAAUAUUGCACAAUGGGCGCAAGCCUGAUGCAGCAACGCCGCGUGCGGGAUGACGGCCUUCGGGUUGUAAACCGCUUUCAGUAGGGACGAAGGGUGACUGACGGUACCUACAGAAGAAGGACCGGCUAACUACGUG